rnacentral:misc_RNA from 1 species
ACUACAUCCCGUGUGUCGUAUCUGGUUAGGCAACACUUAACCUUGUACAACUCACAAACUACGUUCCCUUGAUGUUCUCCUUUGUGAGUCGUCUUGGGCGACAUUCAUUCACACACAUUGAUUGACAACACCUAUUGAUUUAAUAUUCAAUGGUAAA